rnacentral:rRNA from 1 species
UGGGGAAUCUUAGACAAUGGGGGAAACCCUGAUCUAGCCAUGCCGCGUGAGCGAUGAAGGCCUUAGGGUUGUAAAGCUCUUUCAGCUGGGAAGAUAAUGACGGUACCAGCAGAAGAAGCCCCGGCUAACUCCGUGCCAGCAGCCGCGGUAAUACGGAGGGGGCUAGCGUUGUUCGGAAUUACUGGGCGUAAAGCGCACGUAGGCGGAUUAGUCAGUCAGAGGUGAAAUCCCAGGGCUCAACCCUGGAACUGCCUUUGAUACUGCUAGUCUUGAGGUCGAGAGAGGUGAGUGGAAUUCCGAGUGUAGAGGUGAAAUUCGUAGAUAUUCGGAGGAACACC